AAUCCAUAGGUUAAUGAGGCGAACCGGGGGAACUGAAACAUCUAAGUACCCCGAGGAAAAGAAAUCAACCGAGAUUCCCCCAGUAGCGGCGAGCGAACGGGGAGGAGCCCAGAGCCUGAAUCAGCAUGUGUGUUAGUGGAAGCGUCUGGAAAGGCGCGCGAUACAGGGUGACAGCCCCGUACACAAAAGCGCAUGUGCUGUGAGCUCGAUGAGUAGGGCGGGACACGUGGUAUCCUGUCUGAAUAUGGGGGGACCAUCCUCCAAGGCUAAAUACUCCUGACUGACCGAUAGUGAACCAGUACCGUGAGGGAAAGGCGAAAAGAACCCCGGCGAGGGGAGUGAAAAAGAACCUGAAACCGUGUACGUACAAGCAGUGGGAGCCCCACCACCAAAGCAUUUGCUGUACCGCGUUGACGGAGCGAAGCGACGUCAAACCGAUAAAACAGCAGUGUAAA
rnacentral:rRNA from 2 species